rnacentral:RNase_P_RNA from 1 species
GAAGCGCGCCAGGCCGUCGCUGGCACUGCCUCGCAAGAGGACCCGAAAGGGGGUGCUGGAGGAACGUCCGGACUGCACAGGACAGCGUAGGAGGUAACACCUCUCCACCGACAAGCCCGGCGAGUUCGCUCGACGGGCCCUAAGGUGAGGAUCAGAGCAACAGAGACGAGCCGAUUCAGUUCGGGUGAAACGGGCAAUCUCUACGCGCAGCAAUACCAAAUAGGCCAGCCUGAGGCGACAUGGUUCGCCGUGUUGACGAUCCUCGUGGUUCCGCGAGGAGAGCUGGCGGGUAGGUAGCACCGAGCCGGGUGGGCAACCCCCGGCCCAGAUGAAUGGCGGUCACAUCCGGGCCUUCGCAAGAGGGUUCCGGAUGCACAGAAUCCGGCGUAACGGCGCGCUUCACAC